rnacentral:rRNA from 1 species
UAGGGAAUCUUCGGCAAUGGACGAAAGUCUGACCGAGCAACGCCGCGUGAGUGAAGAAGGUUUUCGGAUCGUAAAACUCUGUUGUUAGAGAAGAACAAGGACGUUAGUAACUGAACGUCCCCUGACGGUAUCUAACCAGAAAGCCACGGCUAACUACGUGCAAGCAGCCGCGGUAAUACGUAGGUGGCAAGCGUUGUCCGGGUUUAUUGGGCGUAAAGCGAGCGCAGGCGGUUUCUUAAGUCUGAUGUGAAAGCCCCCGGCUCAACCGGGGAGGGUCAUUGGAAACUGGGAGACUUGGGUGCAGAAGAGGGGAGUGGAAUUCCAUGUGUAGCGGUGAAAUGCGUAGAUGUAUGGAGGAACACAAGUGGCGAAGGCGGCUCUCUGGUCUGUAACUGACGCUGAGGCUCGAAAGCGUGGGGAGCAAACAGG